UUCAGAGAUGAGAAUGUGCCUUCGGGAACCGUGAGACAGGUGCUGCAUGGCUGUCGUCAGCUCGUGUUGUGAAAUGUUGGGUUAAGUCCCGCAACGAGCGCAACCCUUAUCCUUUGUUGCCAGCGGUCCGGCCGGGAACUCAAAGGAGACUGCCAGUGAUAAACUGGAGGAAGGUGGGGAUGACGUCAAGUCAUCAUGGCCCUUACGACCAGGGCUACACACGUGCUACAAUGGCGCAUACAAAGAGAAGCGACCUCGCGAGAGCAAGCGGACCUCAUAAAGUGCGUCGUAGUCCGGAUUGGAGUCUGCAACUCGACUCCAUGAAGUCGGAAUCGCUAGUAAUCGUGGAUCAGAAUGCCACGGUGAAUACGUUCCCGGGCCUUGUACACACCGCCCGUCACACCAUGGGAGUGGGUUGCAAAAGAAGUAGGUAGCUUAACCUUCGGGAGGGCGCUUACCACUUUGUGAUUCAUGACUGGGGUGAAGUCGUAACAAGGUAACCGUAGGGGAACC
rnacentral:rRNA from 1 species